rnacentral:rRNA from 1 species
UACGGAGGGGGCUAGCGUUGCUCGGAAUUACUGGGCGUAAAGCGCACGUAGGCGGUUUCUUAAGUCGGUGGUGAAAUCCUGGAGCUCAACUCCAGAACUGCCUUCGAUACUGGGAAACUUGAGUCCGGGAGAGGUGAGUGGAACUGCGAGUGUAGAGGUGAAAUUCGUAGAUAUUCGCAAGAACACCAGUGGCGAAGGCGGCUCACUGGCCCGGUACUGACGCUGAGGUGCGAAAGCGUGGGGAGCAA